rnacentral:tRNA from 1 species
GGAACGGUGUCCGAGUGGUUGAAGGAGCACGCCUGGAAAGCGUGUGUACGGGCAACCGUACCGAGAGUUCGAAUCUCUCCCGUUCCGCCA